rnacentral:rRNA from 1 species
GAUUAAGUUAUUAAGGGCGCACGGUGGAUGCCUUGGCACUAGAAGCCGAUGAAGGACGUUACUAACGACGAUAUGCUUUGGGGAGCUGUAAGUAAGCUUU